AUACGGAGGGUGCAAGCGUUACUCGGAAUCACUGGGCGUAAAGGACGCGUAGGCGGGAUAGUAAGUCUGAUGUGAAAUCCUAUGGCUCAACCAUAGAACUGCAUUGGAAACUACUGACCUAGAGUAUGGGAGGGGGAGAUGGAAUUAGUAGUGUAGGGGUAAAAUCCGUAGAUAUUACUAGGAAUACCGAAAGCGAAGGCGAUCUCCUGGAACAAUACUGACGCUAAGGCGUGAAAGCGUAGGGAGCAAACAGGAUUAGAAACCCCAGUAGUCC
rnacentral:rRNA from 1 species